AGGAUACCUUCGGGACCCGUCUUGAAACACGGACCAAGGAGUCUAACAUAUGUGCAAGUUAUUGGGAUGUAAACCUAAUAGCGUAAUUAACUUGACUAAUAAUGGGAUUAGUUUUUUAGCUAUUUAUAGCUAAUUAACACAAUCCCGGGGCGUUCUAUAUAGUUAUGUAUAAUGUAUAUUUAUAUUAUUUAUGCCUCUAACUGGAACGUACCUUGAGCAUAUAUGCUGUGACCCGAAAGAUGGUGAACUAUACUUGAUCAGGUUGAAGUCAGGGGAAACCCUGAUGGAAGACCGAAACAGUUCUGACGUGCAAAUCGAUUGUCAGAAUUGAGUAUAGGGGCGAAAGACCAAUCGAACCAUCUAGUAGCUGGUUCCUUCCGAAGUUUCCCUCAGGAUAGCUGGUGCAUUUUAAUAUUAUAUAAAAUAAUCUUAUCUGGUAAAGCGAAUGAUUAGAGGCCUUAGGGUCGAAACGAUCUUAACCUAUUCUCAAACUUUAAAUGGGUAAGAACCUUAACUUUCUUGAUAUGAAGUUCAAGGUUAUGAUAUAAUGUGCCCAGUGGGCCACUUUUGGUAAGCAGAACUGGCGCUGUGGGAUGAACCAAACGUAAUGUUACGGUGCCCAAAUUAACAACUCAUGCAGAUACCAUGAAAGGCGUUGGUUGCUUAAAACAGCAGGACGGUGAUCAUGGAAGUCGAAAUCCGCUAAGGAGUGUGUAACAACUCACCUGCCGAAGCAACUAGCCCUUAAAAUGGAUGGCGCUUAAGUUGUAUACCUAUACAUUACCGCUAAAGUGGAUGAUUUAUAUUACUUGUGAUAUAAAUUUUGAAACUUUAGUGAGUAGGAAGGUACAAUGGUAUGCGUAGAAGUGUUUGGCGUAAGCCUGCAUGGAGCUGCCAUUGGUACAGAUCUUGGUGGUAGUAGCAAAUAAUCGAAUGAGACCUUGGAGGACUGAAGUGGAGAAGGGUUUCGUGUGAACAGUGGUUGAUCACGAGUUAGUCGGUCCUAAGUUCAAGGCGAAAGCCGAAAAUUUUCAAGUAAAACAAAAAUGCCUAACUAUAUAAAC
rnacentral:ncRNA from 1 species